rnacentral:rRNA from 1 species
UACAGAGGGUGCGAGCGUUAAUCGGAAUUACUGGGCGUAAAGGGCGCGUAGGCGGUUGAAUAAGUUGGAUGUGAAAUCCCUGGGCUUAACCUAGGAACUGCAUUCAAUACUGUUUAACUAGAGUGUUGUAGAGGGUAGUGGAAUUUCCGGUGUAGCGGUGAAAUGCGUAGAUAUCGGAAGGAACACCAGUGGCGAAGGCGGCUACCUGGACAGACACUGACGCUGAGGCGCGAGAGCGUGGGUAGCAAACAGG